rnacentral:rRNA from 1 species
CGUUCGUAGUUGAAUUUGUGCUUCAUACGGGUAGUACAACUAUAAUUGUGGAUUGUACAUUACCUUAUGUAUGCAAGCGUAUUACCGGUGGAGUUCUAAUAUUUAAUGGUACUUGUAUCAUUAUCUAUACCUCCUAUUUAAACCUGCUUCAGUGCUCUUCAUCGAGUGUUGUUGUGGGCCGGUACAAUUACUUUGAACAAAUUAGAGUGCUUAAAGCAGGCUCCAAAUGCCUGAAUAUUUUGUGCAUGGAAUAAUGAAAUAAGACCUCUGUUCUACUUUCAUUGGUUUUUAGAUCAAGAGGUAAUGAUUAAUAGAAGCAGUUUGGGGGCAUUAGUAUUACGACGCGAGAGGU